AAUCUUCUGCUUGCAAAUUUGUGUAUUUCAAUUGAUAGGUAUCAAUUGUUAGUUGUUAUUUGAUACUUUUCUGUCUGGCAUUUCUGAGUUUUUUUUUGUGAUUAUUACCAGCAAGUAGUUAAUAAGAAUUAUCAUAUACUUUUGUAAAUGUAGAAAUAUUGGUAUGUAUUCCAAUACCAAACAAAAUUGCAUGUUUGUUUGUUUUAAGUGUGGUCAAUUGUCUAAAGCCUAGAUGGACAAAGGAAGCUGCAGUUGCUUCUGUAACUCAUUGUCCCACCGACCAGCUGUGGUGACGCCAGUCGCCAACAGCUACAGCGCUUUUCCAGGAGGCUUCAGUUAUUCUGUGACUGGUGACCAAGGCACGACACAUCACCCAGCAACUCACAAUCUCGCUGGCGGAGAGUGUUGCUGAGCAGCUGACCAACUGCGGCUGCUGGAGCGUUUCUCAGUCGUCGACCUCCGUAGACUGUCAAGCCUCCCUGGCCUUCUGCGACUCAAGAAGGAGGGAUUUUUAUCUGUGUUUACCAUACAAGAGACAUUUUAAUCUGACGAUUCGAUCGGAUCUGGAUCAUGAAUCCCGAGGCGGUGUGACAGAUGGUCGAGGUCGGCGCGCCACGCCAGACGCCUUCUCGCGCGGGGCGUGCUCAGGUCAGUCAGGUUGCGCUGCCGGACUCUGCUCCGAGGAGAGAAGCACAUAAGCGCAGUCAGGACGCGAGUGUGUUUGCACCGCCCCGGUCCCAGCAACCGCAUGGCGGUGGGGACUCACAGCCCGGCUGAUGGUUCCAGAUCGUCUCAGCGCAGCUUCUUCUCCGGACCCCGGCGCGGCAGCGAGGCUGGUGGUUCGGAGCCGACUGAUGGAGGACAGCAAAAGAACAGCAGGACAGGACAGCACCCUAACAGUAGCCUUCGGUCAUGUGGCGAGAGCUGGGCCCCGGACCGGUCGAAAGGGUGCUCACUGCUGACUGCUCAGCUGAGUGGGUAAUGUCCGCGUCUCGUUAGUGUCCCCGGCCAGGUCCUGAAGGGUAGAUGAGGGCGGGAUAUUCUCCUUUAUAGACGCAGAGCAAUGCCAGAAGAAUGGUUUUGCGAUCGAGUUGCAUGCGCUGUCCCCGCCUGUCGCUCCUGCUGCCGCCGGCGGGGUUGGCGCCAAUGGCCAUUGACGGGGCUGCUGUGUUUGUAAAUUAGGUUGGAUGGACCCCUGCUCUCAGAGUUUUGUGUUGGUCGCUGGUAACCCAUGUUUUGUGGCCAGCGUGUUACGAACCCACGUAGUGGUUUGACCCCGUGGGGUGCUGUGAGACAGCGCGGAGCGACGCGUGGAUGCUGCUGAAACACGCUGAUGUUUGUGUGUACCUAUCGUCAUUUUGAAGUGCUGCUUGAGUUUGCUCGUUUGUUCUGUCUUACUGUUUUGUGUUUUCUACCAAGAUAAUGUCGAUAAGAUUGUUCAAUAAAGUUUGAGUUGA